rnacentral:hammerhead_ribozyme from 1 species
AUCCAUCUGACGAGUCCCAAAUAGGACUAAACGCGCGUCCUGGAU